rnacentral:lncRNA from 1 species
AUGAGAUGGGCCCUCAUGGAUGGAAUGGCAGUGACAUCAUAGUUCCGAUGCUGCCUGGCACCCACUCUGCUUCGUGUCCGAAGGCAGUUGGGAGCUCUUGUGGUCUCUGACCUGCUCUGGAGCUUGCUUGUCUGUCCUGUUCUGACCCACCAUCCCCCUCAUCCACCUUGUCACUGUUUCUAGAGGAGAGGCGCACCUCCAACAGCGAGAGCUCAGAAAGGUGAGCAAGAGAGGCACCCUCAUCCCUAAUGGGCACCUUGGGCACAGAGGCCACUUGGCAGGUGACCCCCUUCCCCAUGAGCUGUGGCUGAGCUGACACCAACACUGGAGCACAGAAGGUGAGCCAGGGGGAUGCAGCCCCUCAGGGAGCCAAGGGGUGCCAGCUGCAGCCACAGUGCCCAGGCUCAUGAAGGUGGCCAAGGUCUGAGCUAAGAUUUCUGGAGUGGGGAAGGGGGGUAGGUGAAAGGAAAAUGAGGAUGAAGAGAAAUGGAAGUGGGAGGAUGGGGGCAGGAGGAGGUGAUGCAGGGGAGAAGGAGGAAAGAUGAACAGUGAAGGAACAGGGCAAGAAGGAUGAGCAGGAGGAGGACCAGCACAGAAAGGGGAGCAGGAGGACAGGAGGCCAAGACCAGCCCAAGCCAGUUCCUUGAGAGUCAUGUUGGGGUCCCUGUAGAUAUUUUACUUGAGUGAUCCCUUGGUUUGAUGCUCAGACGUGGGGAACCUCAAGGUACUGAUUGAGGCCUGAGGGGAAAUCACUGGCCUGAUUCAAGACUAACCACAAGAGCUUACUCUUCACAUCAGUAUCCUCCUGACACUGCUAACAAGCAGUGGGAGAGGAGGAGUGAAGGAAGAUCAGGGUUCAGGGACAGCUGCUUGUGAGAGUCCAGGUGCCCAGGUCCAUCCCAUCCCAGUCACCCUUGCCUGCAUGGAGAGAUGACCCUCCCCUAAGGAAAGUCAAAUUUCAGGCCAACGGUUCAGGGCUGCUCCUGGCCAAUGGGUGGGCUCCACUGUGGGUGGAAUGGCAGUGACCCCAGAGCUCUGUCUGUUGCCUGGCACCCACUCUGCUUCCUGUGCCCAGGCAGUUGGAGGCCCUUGUGGUUGCUGACCUGCUCUGACGCUCGCUCGCCUGCCCGCCCUGCUCUGACACACCUGAUUCCCACACCUUCCUGGUUGACUUGUUAUCAUUUUGAGAGGAGAGGCCCAUAUCCAACCGCGAGAGUCAGAAAGGCAGUUGGAGGCCCUUGUGGUCUCUGACCUGCUCUGACACUCGCCUGCCCUCCCUGUUCUGACCCACCGACCUGAACUUGGGUCCAUUUAUACAGCAGAGACCAGCUCUAACAGCAAGAGGCCAGAAAGGUAAGAAAAACCUGCACUGCAUACUGACUCUUGGGGACAGGGGCAAGCGGGUCGGUGACUCAGUCCUCCCUGGUCUCGGCCAAGAUGAUGCCAAACCCAGCCCUGACCAUGAGCCAGCUGCGUGCAGUCCCUUGUGUCUCCAAGGGGUGAAGGCUGCUGCCCACAGUGCCUGAUUCCAUGUGAGGGCCC